GUCCAGGGAUGGGAAUCGAACCCACAAUGUUCCGCUUACCAGACAGGUGCCAUGUCCACUAGGCUACCCUGGA
rnacentral:tRNA from 1 species